GAUGAAGAACGUAGUGAAAUGCCCCAAGUAAUGUGAAUUGCAGAAUUCAGUGAAUCAUCGAAUCUUUGAACGCACAUUGCGCCCGCCAGUAUUCUGGCGGGCAUGCCUGUCUGAGCGUCAUUUCAACCCUCAAGCAACUUCUGCUUGGUGUUGGGGAUCGGCCGUCAAACGCCGCCCCCGAAAUCUAUUGGCGAUCUCGCUGUAGCUUCCUAUGCGUAGUAGUAACAUCUCGCAUCUGGAGAGCGGCGCGGUCAUGCCGUAAAACACCCAACUUCUCAGGUUGACCUCAGAUCAGGUAGGAAUACCCGCUGAACUUAAGCAUAUCAAUAAGCGGAGGA
rnacentral:misc_RNA from 1 species